AGCAGCCGCGGUAAUUCCAGCUCCAAUAGCGUAUAUUAAAGUUGUUGCAGUUAAAAGCUCGUAGUUGAAUUUCGGGAUCAAUAUGUCGGUCGUGCCAUCGGUACGUACUGGUAUCAUUGGUUUCUCCUUUCUGACGAACCAUGAUGUCAUUAAUUUGGUGUUGUGGGGAGUUAGGACUGUUACUUUGAAAAAUUAGAGUGUUUAAAGCAGGCUUUAGCUUGAAUACAUUAGCAUGGAAUAAUGAAAUAGGACGUUCGAACCUAUUUUGUUGGUUUCUAGGAUCAACGUAAUGAUUAAUAGGGAUAGUUGGGGGCAUUAGUAUUCAAUUGUCAGAGGUGAAAUUCUUGGAUUUAUUGAAGACUAACUACUGCGAAAGCAUUUGCCAAGGAUGUUUUCAUUAAUCAAGAACGAAAGUUAGGGGAUCGAAGACGAUCAGAUACCGUCGUAGUC
rnacentral:rRNA from 1 species